rnacentral:rRNA from 1 species
AGUGAACGCUGGCGGUAGGCCUAACACAUGCAAGUCGAACGGCAGCACAGUAAGAGCUUGCUCUUACGGGUGGCGAGUGGCGGACGGGUGAGGAUUACAUCGGAAUCUACUUUUUCGUGGGGGAUAACGUAGGGAAACUUACGCUAAUACCGCAUACGACCUACGGGUGAAAGCAGGGGAUCUUCGGACCUUGCGCGAUUGAAUGAGCCGAUGUCGGAUUAGCUAGUUGGCGGGGUAAAGGCCCACCAAGGCGACGAUCCGUAGCUGGUCUGAGAGGAUGAUCAGCCACACUGGAACUGAGACACGGUCCAGACUCCUACGGGAGGCAGCAGUGGGGAAUAUUGGACAAUGGGCGCAAGCCUGAUCCAGCCAUACCGCGUGGGUGAAGAAGGCCUUCGGGUUGUAAAGCCCUUUUGUUGGGAAAGAAAAGCAGCAGGUUAAUACCCCGCUGUUCUGACGGUACCCAAAGAAUAAGCACCGGCUAACUUCGU